rnacentral:rRNA from 1 species
GCAAGUCGACCGCUGUGCUUGCACAGAGGGGCGAACGGGUGAGUAACACGUAUCUAACCUACCUUAUAGUCUGGAAUAACUGCGGGAAACUGCAGCUAAUGCCGGAUAUAAGUCCAUUUGAAUCACUUGAGUACCAAAGGCCCGUUUGGGUCGCUAUUAGAUGGGGAUGCGGCGUAUUAGGUAGUUGGUGAGGUAAUGGCUCACCAAGACGAUGAUACGUAGCCGGCCUGAGAGGGUGAAC